AUUGAACGCUGGCGGCAUGCCUUACACAUGCAAGUCGAACGGUAACAGGUCUUCGGAUGCUGACGAGUGGCGAACGGGUGCGUAAUACAUCGGAACGUGCCCGAUCGUGGUGGAUAACGAGGCGAAAGCUUUGCUAAUACCCCAUACGAUCUACGGCUGCAAGCGGGGGAUCUUCGGACCUCGCCCGAACUUGCCCGCCGAUGGCAGAUUAGGUAGUUGGUGGGAUAAAAGCUUACCAAGCCGACGAUCUGUAGCUGGUCUGAGAGGAUGAUCAGCCACACUGGGACUGAGACACGGCCCAGACUCCUACGGGAGGCAGCAGUGGGGAAUUUUGGACAAUGGGCGAAAGCCUGAUCCAGCCAUGCCGCGUGCAGGAUGAAGGCCUUCGGGUUGUAAACUGCUUUUGUACGGAACGAAAAGCCUCUUUCUAAUAAAGAGGGGUCAUGACGGUACCGUAAGAAUAAGCACCGGCUAACUACGUG
rnacentral:rRNA from 1 species